GAUUUGGCUCACCUGCCUUGCAAGCACAAGGGCCCGAGUUUGAUACCCGGUACCCCCCACCACCCGCAAAAAUGUUCAGAGACAUCUAUGAAGCCAACCCCUGUAAUGAAUUCCAGAAGAGCUAGGAGUGCUCAUCAGCAUUGAAAUAGCUGUGGUGUGAAAGGUUCUCAAGCACCAGAGGCCACAAUGGAAAAGCCCAGGAACUGGAAGUAGGCAUUUUGCCCAAUGCUGUCUCAAGGAACCUCCAUCGGAGCAACUUUCCCAACUGUCAUCAACUCC